rnacentral:rRNA from 1 species
AGUGAACGCUGGCGGUAGGCCUAACACAUGCAAGUCGAACGGCAGCACAGUAAGAGCUUGCUCUUACGGGUGGCGAGUGGCGGACGGGUGAGGAAUACAUCGGAAUCUACUUUUUCGUGGGGGAUAACGUAGGGAAACUUACGCUAAUACCGCAUACGACCUACGGGUGAAAGCAGGGGAUCUUCGGACCUUGCGCGAUUGAAUGAGCCGAUGUCGGAUUAGCUAGUUGGCGGGGUAAAGGCCCACCAAGGCGACGAUCCGUAGCUGGUCUGAGAGGAUGAUCAGCCACACUGGAACUGAGCCACGGUCCCGACUCCUACGGGAGGCAGCAGUGGGGAAUAUUGGACAAUGGGCGCAAGCCUGAUCCAGCCAUACCGCGUGGGUGAAGAAGGCCUUCGGGUUGUAAAGCCCUUUUGUUGGGAAAGAAAAGCAGCAGGUUAAUACCCCGCUGUUCUGACGGUACCCACAGAAUAAGCACCGGCUAACUUCGUG